rnacentral:rRNA from 1 species
AGAGUUUGAUCCUGGCUCAGAACGAACGCUGGCGGCAGGCCUAACACAUGCAAGUCGAGCGCGCCCUUCGGGGUGAGCGGCGGACGGGUUAGUAACGCGUGGGAACGUACCCAGAUCUAAGGAAUAGCCACUGGAAACGGUGAGUAAUACCUUAUACGCCCUUCGGGGGAAAGAUUUAUCGGAUUUGGAUCGGCCCGCGUUAGAUUAGAUAGUUGGUGGGGUAACGGCCUACCAAGUCUACGAUCUAUAGCUGGUUUUAGAGGAUGAUCAGCAACACUGGGACUGAGACACGGCCCAGACUCCUGCGGGAGGCAGCAGUGGGGAAUCUUGGACAAUGGGCGCAAGCCUGAUCCAGCCAUGCCGCGUGAGUGAUGAAGGCCUUAGGGUCGUAAAGCUCUUUCGCCAGGGAUGAUAAUGACAGUACCUGGUAAAGAAACCCCGGCUAACUCCGUGCCAGCAGCCGCGGUAAUACGGAGGGGGUUAGCGUUGUUCGGAAUUACUGGGCGUAAAGCGCGCGUAGGCGGGUUGUUAAGUUAGAGGUGAAAUCCCGGGGCUCAACCCCGGAACUGCCUUUAAUACUGGCAACCUAGAGUUCGAGAGAGGUGAGUGGAAUUCCGAGUGUAGAGGUGAAAUUCGUAGAUAUUCGGAGGAACACCAGUGGCGAAGGCGGCUCACUGGCUCGAUACUGACGCUGAGGUGCGAAAGUGUGGGGAGCAAACAGGAUUAGAUACCCUGGUAGUCCACACCGUAAACGAUGAAUGCCAGUCGUCGGGUAGCAUGCUAUUCGGUGACACACCUAACGGAUUAAGCAUUCCGCCUGGGGAGUACGGUCGCAAGAUUAAAACUCAAAGGAAAUUG